CUCCCCAAUUUCGUGAUAUCCAAUUGUUUUAUGAGCUACUAUCUUGUCUCAUCGCUACAACUCCCGUACGGGCUGGGGAGAGGGAGAGACGAAGGUUGAAAGUCAUGCGUCCUCCGAUACACAACCCAACCAAGCCGCACUGCUUCUUAACACAGCACAAUCCAACCCGGAAGCCAGCCGCAACCAAUGUGUCAGAGGAAACACCGUGCACCUGACAACCUUGGUUAGCGCGCACUGCACCCGGCCCGCCACAGGAGACGCUGGUGCGCGAUGAGACAAUGAUUUCCCUACCGGCCAAACUCUCCCUAACCUGGACGACGCUAGGCAAAUUGUGCGUCGCGCCACGGACCUCCGGUCGCGGCCGGUUACGACAGAGCCUGGGCACGAACCCAGAGUCUCUGGUGGCACAGCUGGUGCUGCAGUACAGCGCCCUUAACCACUGCCCCGGGAGGCCAGGUGUGGCGUUUUUACCUGGAACAAGGAAAGAUCCAGGGCUUUGCUGGAAGAGAAAAAAAAGUGCAUUCUUGCACUUUGUGGUUUGUUAUCUUCAAAAGAACAACAUGAAGUGCUGCUGAGACCAAUGGAUCUGGUGGUGAUGCCCUGGGGAGGGAUGCUGAGGACUGGCCUGAUGUCAGUCACACCAAGAAGACCAGAUCUCUGACUGCUCCCAGAUCAAAGGUCAGUUAAGGCAUCCGCAUGCAUCCCAACUGACACAGUUCGGUAGAGUUUAUGCCUAUAGUUUUUCAGUUGUUCGGGCACACAGCAUUUUUUCUGAAGGCAAGCCGAAGUUCGGACCAAAGUCUAUGCCCCUUCGUCGGUGAUUGGUCAACAGUAGUGAUUCUUCAAUAAAGUACUUCUUGUCAUUCAACGAGAUGACUCGUUUUCAUAUUUGUCCAUUGACAAAUACUGCGCCAAAC
rnacentral:lncRNA from 1 species